AGCGAAUUUGAACGCUGCUCGAACUUUAUUCAACGUGUUGGUCUCGUCGCGAGUACACUGAGGUACGGCCUGUCGAACAAGGUUGUGUCGUGUUGCGUUGAAAGUUACAAGUCCCCCCUAGUAGCUACUUCCCAGCUAUUUAUCUUUUUAUUUUUGCCAACAAAUAGCAAAAAACUGUAAUGACUAAACCCCCAGAACCCCCCAAAACAAAUCUAUAUCUUAUAAAAACACAUAUAUACUGAACACCCCUUCCAAAUGAAAAAUAUAAAUCGCGAAUAAAAUAUUUCCAAAAAAAAAAUCAAAAUCAAAACAAAACCAGAGAUCGUACAAUAUUUUUUUCAAGUGUUGAACAAAGAAAAAAAAAGUGCUUUAGCAACAAAACCAACAACAACAACUAAAAUACCACAAUGCCUUACCACAGCUUUACGCUUUAGUGUCACAAAAGUGUGUUUUUUUGUUAAAAAAAUUCCUUUCGAAAAAAAAAAAUAUAGAAGGAAAAAAAAAGUGCAGCCUUUUUUCGAAAACUAAACCCCAAAACCCAAACAGGUGUCUGUCGCCUGGAAAACAGUGUUGGAAAGCGGUGUAUGAAGCAAAGAGAGAGAGAGAGAGAGAGAGAGAGAUACAAUCCAGCAGGUGGAAUCUUCCCCUAGAGCUCUGGUCGGCUCGACUCGGCUCGGAGCGGCGAUUUGUGCAUUUUUUUAAUGAUUCGCUGCCGAGGUGCCGGCUGUUCAACGUUCAACGCAUUCGCUCGGCCCCCGCGAUCUGAGCAACAACACACACUAAAAAAUAAUUAAAAAUAAUAAUAAUAAAAAAUACAAAAUAAAAAGAAAUCUUAAUCGAUGGAUCGGCCAUAUAACCAAACCCCAGAGAACCAAAACUUGACGAUAAAAAAAUAUCCAACUCAGUCCUAGAGCAAAAAAACAAACAUCAACUUGUGAUAAAAAACAAACUAAAAAAACAAAAGUGAAAACAGAGUAAAGUGUGUGCCUCCGAUAACAGAUCGGGUUUAAAAGCCCAGA
rnacentral:sRNA from 1 species